rnacentral:rRNA from 1 species
GUAGGGUGCAAGCGUUGUCCGGAAUUACUGGGCGUGAAGAGUUCGUAGGCGGUUUGUCGCGUCGUUUGUGAAAACUCACAGCUCAACUGUGAGCCUGCAGGCGAUACGGGCAGACUUGAGUACUGCAGGGGAGACUGGAAUUCCUGGUGUAGCGGUGAAAUGCGCAGAUAUCAGGAGGAACACCGGUGGCGAAGGCGGGUCUCUGGGCAGUAACUGACGCUGAGGAACGAAAGCGUGGGUAGCAAACAGGAUUAGAUACCCUGGUAGUCCACGCCGUAAACGGUGGGCGCUAGGUGUGGGUUCCUUCCACGGGAUCUGUGCCGUAGCUAACGCAUUAAGCGCCCCGCCUGGGGAGUACGGCCGCAAGGCUA